UACGGGGGGGGCAAGCGUUGUCCGGAAUUAUUGGGCGUAAAGCGCGUGUAGGCGGCCAGAAAAGUCCGCUGUGAAAACUCGAGGCUCAACUUCGAGCUGUCGGUGGAAACUUUCUGGCUAGAGUCCGGAAGAGGAGAAUGGAAUUCCUGGUGUAGCGGUGAAAUGCGCAGAUAUCAGGAAGAACACCCGUGGCGAAAGCGGCAUCCUGGACCGGGUAUUGACGCUGAGGCGCGAAAGCCAGGGGAGCAAACAGG
rnacentral:rRNA from 1 species